GACGAACGCUGGCGGCGUGCUUAACACAUGCAAGUCGAACGAAGAGCGACGGAAGCUUGCUUCUAUCAAUCUUAGUGGCGAACGGGUGAGUAACGCGUAAUCAACCUGCCCUUCAGAGGGGGACAACAGUUGGAAACGACUGCUAAUACCGCAUACGAUCUAACCUCGGCAUCGAGGAUAGAUGAAAGGUGGCCUCUACAUGUAAGCUAUCACUGAAGGAGGGGAUUGCGUCUGAUUAGCUAGUUGGAGGGGUAACGGCCCACCAAGGCGAUGAUCAGUAGCCGGUCUGAGAGGAGGAACGGCCACAUUGGGACUGAGACACGGCCCAGACUCCUACGGGAGGCAGCAGUGGGGAAUCUUCCGCAAUGGACGAAAGUCUGACGGAGCAACGCCGCGUGAGUGAUGACGGCCUUCGGGUUGUAAAGCUCUGUUAAUCGGGACGAAAGGCCUUCUUGCGAAUAGUGAGAAGGAUUGACGGUACCGGAAUAGAAAGCCACGGCUAACUACGUG
rnacentral:rRNA from 1 species